CAUCGGCCUCAGAUUGUAG
rnacentral:rRNA from 1 species